rnacentral:rRNA from 1 species
UACGAAGGGGGCUAGCGUUGCUCGGAAUCACUGGGCGUAAAGCGCACGUAGGCGGAUUGCUAAGUCAGGGGUGAAAUCCUGGAGCUCAACUCCAGAACUGCCCUUGAUACUGGCGGUCUCGAGUCCGGGAGAGGUGAGUGGAACUGCGAGUGUAGAGGUGAAAUUCGUAGAUAUUCGCAAGAACACCAGUGGCGAAGGCGGCUCACUGGCCCGGUACUGACGCUGAGGUGCGAAAGCGUGGGGAGCGAACAGG